UACAGAGGGGGCAAGCGUUGUUCGGAAUUACUGGGCGUAAAGGGCGCGUAGGCGGCCUGCUAAGUCGAACGUGAAAUCCCUGGGCUCAACCCAGGAACUGCGUCCGAUACUGGUUGGCUUGAAUCCGGGAGAGGGAUGCGGAAUUCCAGGUGUAGCGGUGAAAUGCGUAGAUAUCGAGAGGAACAUCGGUGGCGAAGGCGGCCUUCUGGACAGCGACUGACGCUGAGACGCGAAAGCGUGGGGAGCAAACAGG
rnacentral:rRNA from 1 species